rnacentral:lncRNA from 1 species
UCCUAAUAUGAGACAAGACAUGGCAAAAAAAAGUGUCAAACAAGAGAAUGAGAGUGGCCAAAGAAACGAGGUGGUGGUGGCUAGACAUGAAACAAAGUACAAGACAUAAAAACAUUUAAGUUUGAAAGAGAUAAAAUUUGGAAAAGGGAGAACUAGCAGUGUUUAAGAUUCCGAUGGGGGAGGGAAAGCCAUUGAUUGGGCCUUUGAAACCAUGCCAGGAACCAAGAGCCAGGGGUAGUGGCAGAGGGGACGGCCAGGUAGGACAAUUAAAACGGAAGUCUGGCUCCUUACAACACAGCAUGGAGCGGGGCUACAGCAUUUGCUGCAGUGGGAGGUGGGGCCAGUCUGGCACAGUCUGUGGGUUUGAAAGGAGCUGGGCGGGUUGGAGAAUGCCAGUCAGCCUUUGUAGUUCUGAGCUCAGAGAGGGGGUGACACAUACUGGGCUUCAGGUCAGAAGCCUGGCUUGGGUGGCUUUUGGAGAAAUUUUCCCUCUGCUCCCAAACUCUUAAAAGGUGCUCAUCACACCACUGGCCUCCAAUCACAGCAUAAGCACGUGUUCCAAAGGCCAUCCUCCAGCAGAGAUUUCGGCAGUGGUACCUGUUGGCUGGCUCAUGGGGUCCUUUCCUUUUUCCAUUCCCUGGAAGCCGUCAACUGGACUGAAUACAACAUCUUUGCGUCUUUUUCUUCACCCUCCCCACAUGCUUGCAUCUCCCAGACUCCUAGGGUUAAUCCCCAGGACAACCUUGCUUUGAAAGAAAAAAUGUGGUGAGCCUACUUGAAGAUUUGGAUUCCAAGAGGCCUCUGUCUGUCCUGCCUCAGCCAGAGCCAGACAGCCAGCUCAAGGAGAUGGGCAAUUUACAGAGAAAGCAGCACUGGUCCUAUAGUACCCCUCCUCAGGAAUGUCUCCCCAGUGCAAGGACAAAGACUGAAGAGACUGCUAUAUUGAUGGACUCUCAAGCCAACUAUGAAGUUGAAACAAAGAAAGUGAUCACCUGAAGACACCUCCUCUGCUAAGAAACACCCCCAAAUUGUGCAGCUUCUGCCACUAGAACUCUCAGAACAAGAGACAAUCUUUUCAAGAAACAGAAAAACUCAAUAAUGACAUCUAGAUUUUCAUGAGCCAAGAACUUUCCCUUCCUCAUGUGUAUUCCUCUGUUUGUACUUAAAUUCAUGUG